rnacentral:lncRNA from 1 species
UACCAUUUUCCUACCACAACGCUUGUAUUCACAUCUUUGGGAAGCUCAGGACGAAGAUUAGCGUUGAUUCCCUUUGCAUCAUCUAUCAAACCAAAGUCUUGAGAGUUUGAGUACUCAACGGUCCAAUACUUUCUCCUAAGGAACUUAGGUGGUAUCCCAUUAGGAGCAACAGAAGUGGCUGUGUUAUAGCGAGAUAAUGCUCGGCGUUGAUGGAUCUCGAAUUGUUGGUAUAUGUCAUAAGGAUCUGGUUCUUGUGGCCUAGCUUCAGGGAUAUAGCUAAAGCAAAAGCAGCAGGGGACUCUGUCUUCUUCUGUUGCACUUGCUGAAGCUCCUCUGCAUGAAAAGUUUAGGGUUUUAGGAAUAUUUUUGCGCAAGUUAGGUUUUUCAGCUUCGACAACACCGAGUAACGUGAAUCAAUAGUCAAACCAAAGCCAUGCCAAGAAAGCCAAACCAAUAAGGAAAUAAACCGGUUUAGUUUUAUAUUUAUAUAUAACCAAGACACCCUGAACCAAAUGAUGCUAGAAUCUAUUUUCAUCAAUGUUCUAAAAAUCGGACCAUAAGCUAACACAUAAUUAGAUUAUGAAUAAAUAUUAAAUAUAAAACAUUGAGAAUAUUAGCUGAUUCAUGAAUUUUUAAUAAUUUUAAUAGUUUUUAUCCAGUUAAAUAAUUUAAAAAUCUAACUCUGAUAUGUAACCGGUUUAUAGUUGAACCUGGUCUAAUUGGGUCAGUCUGGUUUUAAAGGCACUGAUUUUCAUCAACCAUAACACAAAAUAAUUGAUUGAUUAUUUUGGUCAUACAUACCCUGAGUGCUUCCCACGUCGUUUAAUGACAUAAUAACGGUUCAAAGAUAGAGGCUGUCCAGGAACCGGAAUGAACAGAACCGGGUCAUGGUAACUGCGCCUGUUUUUACCAGUUCCGGUUCUGUAAGUCACAGUUAGCUUUGCGUUCUGAGGGAACGGUAAGCCUCUGAGUUCACCAUCGUAGCAAGAUCCGAAGCAACAAGUCGGCCUUGACUCUUCAUCUUGAAUCACAAGUACGCCGGAGUUUGGACCUUCCGGCAACGAUUGUGUCAAGUUUCUCUGGUAUUCUGAGAGAUGCCUUGUUACAUACAUCUUGAAGUCAGAAUCUUUAAGGUAAUUAGUUAUAAAUCAAGAAGAUGUGAUUUUCUUUAUAUAGAGCAUCAUGGAUUUGAGGGAUAAAGCCGUAAGCUAAUUUUACAAGUAAUUGUUUAAAGACUUUUCAAAGAUUUUGAGUUAAAUGGUCAACUUUGAAUUUCAAAGUUAUGACCUUCACUUGGUCUCACAAACCUAUCAUGAAGAAUCAAUCUAGUCCAAGAUUCCUUUAAUUAAUAUUUUCAUGAAUGUAUGAUAGCUUCGAUGUUACUCCAUCCGAUUUAUUAUAAGUGUCAUUUUGACAUUUUUCAAGGAGAUUAAGAAAAUUGUAUAAUAGACUAAUAUAUUUUAUUUAAUGUAUGAUUAAUUAAAUGAAAAUAAUUUAAAUAAAAAUCUAUUAGUUAUUCAAGAGAGUAAAAAGUAGAUUUAAUAUACAAAGUUACAUUGAAAAUUAUUUGAAACAAAAUAAAAAAUCUAAAGUGAUACUUAUUAUGAAAUAGAUGGAGUAUUAUAUUCCUUAGUAUGAAAACAGCUUAACGGUAAAAACAAGUUCAACUGUAAAUAAAUCGCAUUGACCAAUGGAAGCUCACAUCAUCGAGAUUAAUCAAGCUUUUGAAGAUUACGUUGCGCCAAUAAGCUUACUCCAUUUACUCUUGACCUUAUCAACGUGUCUGAACUCAUAUGUUAAGACCAAGCUCUCAUCCAUUCUCUUCAAUACGAAGCUCUCUAUCAAAACAUAACAAUGAUAACUCUUCCAAAAACUACCAUCUUUUGGUUUCUCCUCCAGUCUCUUAACCACCAUUGCUCGCUCCUGCUCGCCUUUGCUUCUCCACCCAAAUCUCUCUUCUUCCCAUUUCAUCCUCUCAACAACCACUGACCUUAAACCGAUCUUCCUGUCUCCAACCCCAAACCAAACAAACCGUCUUUGCACUCAUGGGAGUUAUAUACCUUUUGCCUACUCCAACACAUUGCAGCAAAGAGAAAUAAUGACCUCGAAAGUUUUGUGUUGCUUCUGGAUGAUAUAUGGGAGAAAGUGAAUUUGAAAGCGGUUGGAGUACCACAUCCGAGCAGACAAAACAGAUGCAAAGUAGCCUUUACCACUCGUUCUAGAGAUUGUCGAUGGUCUAGACUUGGAAGAGGAAGAGCCUUUCAUGGAUUCUUCUUGGCCUCAUUAGCACCUUUCCUACGAGCUUCUCUUGAGACUCAUAUAUCGCUUCACCUGAGACUGACACAAAGCUGGCUAAGAAGUACAUAGACCAGUCUUUCGUUACACGGUUACUGGAUCUGUUUGACUCCGAGGAUCCUAGAGAAAGAGACUGUCUCAAAACCCUUGUCUACGGUAAAUUUAUGGCUCACCGUCCGUUCAUCAGGAAAUCAAUAAACAGCGUUUUCUACAGGUUUGUUUUCGAGACUGAGAAACACAACGGGAUCGCUGAGUUUCUUGAGAUUUUGGGAUCAUCAAAUAGAUUCGCUCUGCCGCUUAAAGACGAGCACAGAGUGUUUCUCGUUAGAGCUUUGGUACCUCUCCACAAACCGAAAUGCUUUACCUAGCUUGACGCUAGACGUGCUGGUGCAGACGAUAUUUAAUGAUAUUGAUCCAGAGUUCUUUAAGGAAUGUCUUACUAAGUUUAGAUAUAAUGAAUCAAAAGAAUCUGAAGUUGAUGCAAAACGUCAGGCCACAUGGAAACGGUUGGAAGAAAUUGGGAUGCAAAAGGAGAAGAGUGCAUCUUAAGUAUCUUUAGUUGUAGAGAGAGGUUUUGUUUGUCUAUUACCGUUUUCUACUACAUCCACGAAAGAUACCUUUACUUGGUAUCACAAACCUAUCAUGAGAAUUAUUCAAAUCAGUUAUAGAUUAUUCAUUAUAAAGAGCAAAAAGAAAUUAGGGUUUAUAUAUUGAUUAUGUGAAUGAAUAAGGUACCAAGGGAGCUGACAAUGCAAUCACCAUGUGACACUUUUCCAUAUUUUGGCCUUAUUCAACACUAAAUUUCUUGAUGUUUAACCGAAAGAUUAAUGCAUUUUGGGGACAUAGUAACCAAAUCAAUUCUAUUAAAAAUUUCAAAUAUAUAUACCACAAACUGGAAAGUUAUAGCUAACCUUUCACUGAUAAAGAAAACUUUAAAAUACUUUCAGAAUUAACACAAAGUUUAUAAGAACUUUAGUUUUAAUUUUUACGUAUAAACUUGCACGAAGCUUUUAUUAAAAUAAACACACCAUAAAAUGGAACAUGACACACACAGAAGCUGAAUAGACUCAAACCCACCUGCUCUUCAGCUUAUCAACAUGUCUAAACUCAUAUGUCAACACCAAACUCCCAUCAGUUCUCUUUAAUUCAAAGCUCUCUACAAGUACAUAGCAUUUAUAGCUCUUCCAGUGUGGUGAACCGCCUUCGAAUCUCUCUGAUCUCUUAAUGCUAGACCUUACUCCAUCGCCUUUAUUUAACCAACCAAACCUCUCCUCUUCCCACUUAAUUCCCUCCACGACCACUGACCCAAGACCUAUCUUCUUGUCUUGUCUCUCAUCCCUUAAGACACUAAACCAAACAACUCCAUCAGUUCUUGUCUCUCUCAGAUUGGUUACUUCUCCAUCAAGCUUCACCACUUCUGUUUCUACUUCAACAUCAACCACAACCUCACUUUCUUCACUAACGUUCUCGCUUGAGUAAACCUCUUCCCAUCUUUGUUUAAGAGUCAUACUGUAAUAAGUUGAGGUUUUUAUCUGACCUUUUGCAUCUCCUUCCUUCACAAAUAUGAAAGGGACAUACCAUUUUCCUACCACAACGCUUGUAUUCACAUCUUUGGGAAGCUCAGGACGAAGAUUAGCGUUGAUUCCCUUUGCAUCAUCUAUCAAACCAAAGUCUUGAGAGUUUGAGUACUCAACGGUCCAAUACUUUCUCCUAAGGAACUUAGGUGGUAUCCCAUUAGGAGCAACAGAAGUGGCUGUGUUAUAGCGAGAUAAUGCUCGGCGUUGAUGGAUCUCGAAUUGUUGGUAUAUGUCAUAAGGAUCUGGUUCUUGUGGCCUAGCUUCAGGGAUAUAGCUAAAGCAAAAGCAGCAGGGGACUCUGUCUUCUUCUGUUGCACUUGCUGAAGCUCCUCUGCAUGAAAAGUUUAGGGUUUUAGGAAUAUUUUUGCGCAAGUUAGGUUUUUCAGCUUCGACAACACCGAGUAACGUGAAUCAAUAGUCAAACCAAAGCCAUGCCAAGAAAGCCAAACCAAUAAGGAAAUAAACCGGUUUAGUUUUAUAUUUAUAUAUAACCAAGACACCCUGAACCAAAUGAUGCUAGAAUCUAUUUUCAUCAAUGUUCUAAAAAUCGGACCAUAAGCUAACACAUAAUUAGAUUAUGAAUAAAUAUUAAAUAUAAAACAUUGAGAAUAUUAGCUGAUUCAUGAAUUUUUAAUAAUUUUAAUAGUUUUUAUCCAGUUAAAUAAUUUAAAAAUCUAACUCUGAUAUGUAACCGGUUUAUAGUUGAACCUGGUCUAAUUGGGUCAGUCUGGUUUUAAAGGCACUGAUUUUCAUCAACCAUAACACAAAAUAAUU